AAGGUCUCCGUUGGUGAACCAGCGGAGGGAUCAUUAG
rnacentral:rRNA from 1 species